UAAAAGUUUUAUUCUUGCUAAAUAUUUACUUUAUGAUUAUUUUACAUGUAAUGUUUUUAAAUUGUAUUUAUUAUUCUUAAUGAGUCUUAAAUUUAUUUUGCAGUAAUAUGUAUUAUCUUUUUGAAGCAAUUCAGAAAUAGUAAUUUAUAAAUUUCUGGUUAAAUCCGUGCCAGCCACCGCGGUUAGACGGUAAGAAGAAGUAAAUAUUCUUGGUGUAGUAGUUAAUUUUAAUUUUAAUUUAUUAAAAUAAAAAUUUUUAGGUGAAAUUUUAAUUUUUUAAUAUUUAUGUUAAGUGAAGCUAUGAAAUUUAUUUGACAGACGAGGAUUAGAUACCCUUUUAUUAUAAAUGUUAAUUUUGCAACCAGGGUAGUAAUAGAUAUGUUCUUGAAACCCAAAGAAUUUGGCGGUAUUUUAGUCCUUUCAGAGGAAUCUGUCCCAUGAUCGACAGUCCACGAGAUGAUUUACUUAUUCUUGUAUUUCAGUUUGUAUACCUCCGUCAUAAGAAGAUCUUUUUAGAGAUAAAAUUUUCUUAAUAUAUUAAAUAUAAUAUGUCAGGUCAAGGUGCAAUUUAUGAAUAAGUGGAGAUGGAUUACAAUAAAUUUAUUUAAAUGGAUUAAAUUAUUUAAUUUUUUAUGAAGGUGGAUUUGAUAGUAAUUUUAAUUGUUUAUUAUUAUGAUUUUGGCUCUAAAAUAUGCACACAUCGCCCGUCGCUCUCAUUUCUAAAAUGAGAUAAGUCGUAACAUAGUAGGUGUAUCGGAAGAUGUACCUAGUAGGAU
rnacentral:ncRNA from 1 species